AAGAAUUUAAUGGUCGAACAGACCAAGAAUUUUGGAAAAACUGCACCCAAAACUUAUCUUAAUUCAACAUCGAGGUCGCAAACUUUUCCAUUGAUAAGGACUCUCCGGAAAAAUAACGCUGUUAUCCCUAAGGUAAAUUUUUCUUUUAAUCAAUAAAACUGGAUCAAAACAUAAAUUAAUGGAAAAUUUAAUAAAAGUUAUUAAAAUUUUAAUGUCACCCCAACAAAAUUUUUUAUUCUAAAUAAGUCUUUUAAUAACCAAAAAGAAAAUUUUAUAUAAAAAAUAAAUUUCUAUAGGGUCUUCUCGUCCUAUAAAAAAAUUUAAACUUUUUAAUUUAAAAAUUAAAUUCAAUAAUUAAAAUAAAGAAAGAAAAUUUUUCAUCAAGCCACUCAUACUAGCCUCCAAUUAAAAGACAAAUGAUUAUGCUACCUUCGUACAGUUAAAAUACCGCAGCCUUUUAAUUUUUUAAAUCAAUGGGCAGGCCUGAUUUUAUAUUAAAAUCAAAAAACC
rnacentral:rRNA from 1 species